ACGGAAGGCAGCAGUGGGGAAUAUUGGGCAAUGGGCGAAAGCCUGACCCAGCAACGCCGCGUGAAGGAAGAAGGUUUUCGGAUUGUAAACUUCUUUUAUCAGGGACGAAGGAAGUGACGGUACCUGAUGAAUAAGCCACGGCUAACUACGUGCCAGCAGCCGCGGUAAUACGUAGGUGGCAAGCGUUAUCCGGAUUUACUGGGUGUAAAGGGAGCGCAGGCGGUCCUGCAAGCCAGAGGUGAAAACCCGGGGCUCAACCCCGUGAUUGCCUUUGGAACUGUAGGACUUGAGUACUGGAGGGGCAGGCGGAAUUCCUGGUGUAGCGGUGAAAUGCGUAGAUAUCAGGAGGAACACCGGUGGCGAAGGCGGCCUGCUGGACAGAAACUGACGCUGAGGCUCGAAAGCGUGGGGAGCAAACAGGAUUAGAUACCCUGGUA
rnacentral:rRNA from 1 species